rnacentral:rRNA from 1 species
UGCUUCUCUUGAGAGCGGCGGACGGGUGAGUAAUACCUAGGAAUCUGCCUGGUAGUGGGGGAUAACGUUCGGAAACGGACGCUAAUACCGCAUACGUCCUACGGGAGAAAGCAGGGGACCUUCGGGCCUUGCGCUAUCAGAUGAGCCUAGGUCGGAUUAGCUUGUUGGUGAGGUAAUGGCUCACCAAGGCGACGAUCCGUAACUGGUCUGAGAGGAUGAUCAGUCACACUGGAACUGAGACACGGUCCAGACUCCUACGGGAGGCAGCAGUGGGGAAUAUUGGACAAUGGGCGCAAGCCUGAUCCAGCAAUGCCGCGUGUGUGAAGAAGGCCUUCGGGUUGUAAAGCACUUUUAUCAGGAACGAAAUACCACGGGUUAAUAACCUAUGGGGCUGACGGUACCUGAGAAAUAAGCACCGGCUAACUUCGUGCCAGCAGCCGCGGUAAUACGAAGGGUGCAAGCGUUAAUCGGAAUUACUGGGCGUAAAGGGUGCGUAGGCGGUUAGUUAAGUCUGUCGUGAAAUCCCCGGGCUCAACCUGGGAAUGGCGAUGGAUACUGGCUGGCUAGAGUGUGUCAGAGGAUGGUGGAAUUUCCGGUGUAGCGGUGAAAUGCGUAGAGAUCGGAAGGAACAUCAGUGGCGAAGGCGGCCAUCUGGGACAACACUGACGCUGAAGCACGAAAGCGUGGGGAGCAAACAGGAUUAGAUACCCUGGUAGUCCACGCCCUAAACGAUGCGAACUGGAUGUUGGUCUCAACUCGGAGAUCAGUGUCGAAGCUAACGCGUUAAGUUCGCCGCCUGGGGAGUACGGUCGCAAGACUGAAACUCAAAGGAAUUGACGGGGGCCCGCACAAGCGGUGGAGUAUGUGGUUUAAUUCGAUGCAACGCGAAGAACCUUACCUGGCCUUGACAUGUCUGGAAUCCUGCAGAGAUGCGGGAGUGCCUUCGGGAAUCAGAACACAGGUGCUGCAUGGCU